GUGGCGAACGGGUGAGUAACACGUGAGCAACCUGCCCCUGACUCUGGGAUAAGCGCUGGAAACGGCGUCUAAUACUGGAUACGAACCAUGAAGGCAUCUUCAGUGGUUGGAAAGAUUUAUUGGUUGGGGAUGGGCUCGCGGCCUAUCAGCUUGUUGGUGAGGUAAUGGCUCACCAAGGCGUCGACGGGUAGCCGGCCUGAGAGGGUGACCGGCCACACUGGGACUGAGACACGGCCCAGACUCCUACGGGAGGCAGCAGUGGGGAAUAUUGCACAAUGGGCGCAAGCCUGAUGCAGCAACGCCGCGUGAGGGAUGACGGCCUUCGGGUUGUAAACCUCUUUUAGCAGGGAAGAAGCGAAAGUGACGGUACCUGCAGAAAAAGCGCCGGCUAACUACGUGCCAGCAGCCGCGGUAAUACGUAGGGCGCAAGCGUUAUCCGGAAUUAUUGGGCGUAAAGAGCUCGUAGGCGGUUUGUCGCGUCUGCUGUGAAAUCCGGAGGCUCAACCUCCGGCCUGCAGUGGGUACGGGCAGACUAGAGUGCGGUAGGGGAGAUUGGAAUUCCUGGUGUAGCGGUGGAAUGCGCAGAUAUCAGGAGGAACACCGAUGGCGAAGGCAGAUCUCUGGGCCGUAACUGACGCUGAGGAGCGAAAGGGUGGGGAGCAAACAGGCUUAGAUACCCUGGUAGUCCACCCCGUAAACGUUGGGAACUAGUUGUGGGGUCCAUUCCACGGAUUCCGUGACGCAGCUAACGCAUUAAGUUCCCCGCCUGGGGAGUACGGCCGCAAGGCUAAAACUCAAAGGAAUUGACGGGGACCCGCACAAGCGGCGGAGCAUGCGGAUUAAUUCGAUGCAACGCGAAGAACCUUACCAAGGCUUGACAUAU
rnacentral:rRNA from 1 species